UACGUGAGGUGUGCAGGCGUGUAACCGGAAAUAUCUGGGCCGUAAAGGCGCUAGCCAGGCUGGUUUCGUAAAGUCUAGAUGUGAAAGCCCCCGGGCUCAACCCGUGGGAGAGUGCAUUGGAAACUGGCGAGACUGAGGGCAGAAGAGGAGGAGGUGGAAUUCUCACGUGUAGCGGUGAAAUGCGUAGAGAUGUGAGGAACACCAGUGGCGAAGGCGACUCUCUGGUCUGUAUACUGACGACUGAGGAGCGAAAGCGUGGGGAGCGAACAAGGAUUAGAUACCUGGUAGUUCACGCCGUAAACGAUGAGUGACUAAGUGUUAGGGGGCCUCCGCCCCUUAGUGCUGCAGCUAACGCAUUAAGCAGUCCGCCUGGGGAGUACGGUCGCAAGACUGAAACUCAAAGGAAUUGACGGGGGCCCGCACAAGCGGUGGAGCAUGUGGUUUAAUUCGAAGCAACGCGAAGAACCUUACCAGGUCUUGACAUCCUCUGACAAUCCUAGAGAUAGGACGUCCCCUUCGGGGGCAGAGUGACAGGUGGUGCAUGGUGGUCGUCAGCUCGUGUCGUGAGAUGUUGGGUUAAUUCCCGCAACGAGCGCAACCCUUUAUCUUAGUUCCCAGCAUUCAGUUGGGCACUUUCAGGGGGCUGCCGGUGACAAACCGGAGGAAGGUGGGGAUGACGUCAAAUCAUCAUGCCCCUUAUGACCUAGGCUACCCACGUGGUACAAUGGACAGAACAAAGGGCAGCGAAACCGCGAGGUUAAGCCAAUUCCCCAAAUCUGUUCUCAGUUCGGAUCGCAGUUUGCAACUUGGAUGCGUGAAGCUGGAAUCGCUAGUAAUCGCGGAUCAGCAUGCCGCGGUGAGUACGUUCCCGGGCCUUGUACACACCGCCCGUCACACCCCGAGAGUUGUAACACCAGAGAGUCGGUGAGGUAACACUUUUAGGAGCCAGCCGCACGCAACGGU
rnacentral:rRNA from 1 species